rnacentral:rRNA from 1 species
AUACGGGGGGUGCAAGCAUUAAUCGGAUUUAUUGGGCGUAAAGAGCGCGUAGGCUGGGAUGCAAGUCAGAUGUGAAAGCCCGGGGCUUAACCCCGGAACUGCAUUUGAUACUACAUUUCUCGAGGAUAGGCGGGGGAGACGGAAUUCCACAUGUAGCGGUGAAAUGCGUAGAUAUGUGGAGGAACACCGGUGGCGAAGGCGGUCUCCUAGCUUAUACCUGACGCUGAGGCGCGAAAGCAGGGGGAGCAAACAGGAUUAGAAACCCGUGUAGUCC